rnacentral:rRNA from 1 species
UAAUACAGAGGUGGCAAGCGUUGUUCGGAAUUACUGGGCGUAAAGGGCUCGUAGGUGGCCAACUAAGUCAGACGUGAAAUCCCCAGGCUUAACCUGGGAACUGCGUCUGAUACUGGAUGGCUUGAAUUCGGGAGAGGGAUGCAGAAUUCCAGGUGUAGCGGUGAAAUGCGUAGAUAUCUGGAGGAAUACCGGUGGCGAAGGCGGCAUCCUGGACCGAGAUUGACACUGAUGAGCGAAAGCUAGGGGAGCAAACGGGAUUAGAUACCCCGGUAGUCCUAGCCCUAAACGAUGAAUGCUUGGUGUGACGGGUAUCGAUCCCUGUCGUGCCGAAGCUAACGCAUUAAGCAUUCCGCCUGGGGAGUACGGUCGCAAGGCUG